GACGAACGCUGGCGGCGUGCUUAACACAUGCAAGUCGAACGGAAAGGCCCUGCUUUUGUUGGGUGCUCGAGUGGCGAACGGGUGAGUAACACGUGAGUAACCUGCCCUUGACUUUGGGAUAACUUCAGGAAACUGGGGCUAAUACCGGAUAGGAGCUCCUGCUGCAUGGUGGUGGUUGGAAAGUUUCGGCGGUUGGGGAUGGACUCGCGGCUUAUCAGCUUGUCGGUGGGGUAGUGGCUUACCAAGGCUUUGACGGGUAGCCGGCCUGAGAGGGUGACCGGCCACAUUGGGACUGAGAUACGGCCCAGACUCCUACGGGAGGCAGCAGUGGGGAAUAUUGCAAAAUGGGCGGAAGCCUGAUGCAGCAACGCCGCGUGCGGGAUGACGGUCUUCGGGUUGUAACCCGCGUUCGCCUGUGACGAAGCGUGAGUGACGGUAAUGGGUAAAGAAGCACCGGCUAACUACGUG
rnacentral:rRNA from 1 species